rnacentral:rRNA from 1 species
UACAGAGGGGGCAAGCGUUAUUCGGAAUUAUUGGGCGUAAAGGGCGCGUAGGAGGCCGAGCAAGUCUUGGGUGAAAUCCCUCGGCUCAACCGUGGAACUGCCUUGGAAACUGCUUGGACCGAGGCCGGGAGAGGAUGGUGGAAUUCCCAGUGUAGCGGUGAAAUGCGUAGAUAUUGGGAGGAACACCAGUGGCGAAAGCGGCCAUCUGGACCGGUCCUGACGCUGAGUCGCGAAAGCGUGUGGAGCAAACAGG